UUUAAAUAUUAUAAAGUUACAAUAAAAGUGAAAGACAGAUAAAUUUGGAAUUUGAAUAAUACAGAACUCUGAAACUACAUAUUUUAGAUGUAGUUGUAUAUUUUAUUUAAUUGGUGAAAUAGUCCUGCCACUGGACUUAUGAAUGUUAUAUUUGUAUUUAUUCAGGAUAUGGAUUGAUACCUUAUCAAGUUGUCAAAUGAGUAGUGCUCAGAUUUUAAUGUACACAGCACUGUGAUAUUCCAGCUAGUACACUGACCUUUGUACCAUAUACAUGGUAAGCAUUGUGUUCUAUGUUGUUUAUUUGUAAUGUCUGUACUGUCUAUGUUUUAUUCAAGUAAU
rnacentral:lncRNA from 1 species